GUGUCUAUGCAUAAGUGAGUGCAAACAUUUAAAUAUUGCUUGACUUCAACAGCAAAACUUACUGUUAACACUGUCUGUCUGGCUCUUUCUGUAAAUGCUGAAGAUGAUGAGUUCUCUAAGUCAGGUGUAAAUGUUGCUCCAACAUCUCUGAACUGCAACUGCUUUGUUGUAACAGCCUCAAUAGUUGUAGUUCUUACAGCUGUAGUGGUUGUAGGAGUAACUGUGGAUGCGUUUGUUGGGGUAGUGAUGAUUGGUGUUGUAGCAUUCACAGGUGUAGUUGAAGCUGUUGUAGAAACUGUAGUUGUAUUUGUUCCUGGUGUGGUGUUUGUAAGAUUUGCUGUGGUUGCGUUUGUAGGGGUAGUCAUCAUUGGUGUUGUAGCAUUCACAGGUGUAGUUGAAGCUGUUGUAGACACUGUAGUUGUAUUUGUUCCUGGUGUGGUGUUUGUAAGAUUUGCUGUGGUUGCGUUUGUAGGGGUAGUCAUCAUUGGUGUUGUAGCAUUCACAGGUGUAGUUGAAGCUGUUGUAGACACUGUACUUGUAUUUGUUCCUGGUGUGGUGUUUGUUAGAUUUGCUAUGGUUGCGUUUGUAGGGGUAGUCAUCAUUGGUGUUGUAGUGCUCACAGUUGUAGGUAAAACCACU
ensembl:lncRNA